rnacentral:rRNA from 1 species
UACGUAGGGUGCGAGUGUUAAUCGGAAUUACUGGGCGUAAAGCGUGCGCAGGCGGUUCGUUGUGUCGGCGGUGAAAGCCCCGGGCUUAACCUGGGAAUGGCCGUUGAAACUGGCGAACUGGAGUGUGGCAGAGGGGGGUGGAAUUCCGCGUGUAGCAGUGAAAUGCGUAGAGAUGCGGAGGAACACCGAUGGCGAAGGCAGCCCCCUGGGCUAACACUGACGCUCAGGCACGAAAGCGUGGGGAGCAAACAGG